GAGGUUCGCAUAACAGCGAUUAAAAGGGAAUGGGGUGUGACUCCCCAACUGUCCCGCAGCUGUAAGUUCCUUUAUCGUUCGAAUGUAGCAAAUCCACUGCCAAAAGCGCGCCUUAUUAUUAAUAAGGUGUCGGCAUGGCGGGAAGGAACAUUCGACGGAACGAAGUCAGAAGACCUGCCUCAAGG
rnacentral:ncRNA from 1 species